AUAGACAAGUUAGUAUAAUACAAGGUAAGUAGACAAAAAAAAUUAACAAAAGCACUACCACUAGUCGUCACUGCGAUUUUCGAGGUUUUCUCUCGAUUACUCUGGUAUUCCAUCAUCAGACCCUGGUUUUCUUAUCAUGGUACCAUAUUUGAAAUAUCUCCUUUCCAAGAAAAAAAAAAGAAAU